rnacentral:rRNA from 1 species
GUGCCAGCAGCCGCGGUAAUACGUAGGUGGCAAGCGUUGUCCGGAAUUAUUGGGCGUAAAGGGCGCGUAGGCGGCCUGAUAAGUCAGAUGUGAAAGCCCCAGGCUCAACCUGGGAUCUGCAUUUGAAACUGUCGGGCUAGAGUGCAGGAGAGGAAAGUGGAAUUCCUAGUGUAGCGGUGAAAUGCGUAGAGAUUAGGAGGAACACCAGUGGCGAAGGCGACUUUCUGGACUGUAACUGACGCUGAGGCGCGAAAGCGUGGGGAGCAAACAGGAUUAGAAACCCUGGUAGUCC